GGUAUUUAAAAGGUGGAUUUUCCUUCUAUGUUUACGUGAUUGCUGGUUAAUCAUAGAGGAAAAUCCAUGUUUUCAGUAUC
rnacentral:pre_miRNA from 1 species